GAGAACUAAUUAAAUGAAAGCUGGAAUGAGAGCGUAACGUCUUGAAACGGUUUCCCUAAUCCUCCGAUAUGCUUUUGAAAGGUAAAUAGUCAACAGUAUAAAGCUCGGUGAAGUCAGCUGAAAGAAGCCGUAGAUAAGAUAGAUUCUUAUACGAAAAAAGUCCAGAGGUGGAUGUUGCUUCCUAUAGGCUGGGGGUCUUAUAA
rnacentral:ncRNA from 1 species